AUUUUAUAUAACCCAAGUUAUAUCGAAAGUGAUAACUAUUCUAACCAGGACGAGCAUAGUUGGCCCAGCAAACGUCAGAGGGAAGUUGAUUCUAUUUAUAUGCAAAGAAAGCUUCAAAUUACACUGAAUGUUGUUUCAGGUGCAGUGGAUGGAUAAUGAAGGAAAGACUCAUUUGAUAUU